AAAAACACAACAAAUUAUGCAAAGUUAUACGAGCACAAUUUUUUCUCUUCCCACAACUUUUUCUCCUUGAAGUUUUUCACUAAUCCUUUGACGUGCACUUUGAAAGGACACAGUCUCAGAAACCCAAUCCAAUGUGCCAUGUUCUUUCCAGCCGGGAUUCAAAACCAUUUGCUCAAGCUUUGGAACAUAUUUUAGAAUAUUUAUAACAAAUUCAAUUUCGAACCAAUUGCCAACACACCCUCCUAAUUCAAUAACUUUAACCUUGUCGUGAGAAAAUGCUUCAAUAUCUUCAAUAUCUCUAAUAUCUUUUUGAUUUUUAAGGAACUUUGGAUUUGUAAGC
rnacentral:lncRNA from 1 species